ACAAAGUCGUCGAAUUCUUCAAGUUUAUUUACAAUUGCCGCGAAUGAACAUCCAGUCAUACGGAAAAUUUCUUCAAAAUAUGGAGGAUCAUGGGCCUUGAUGAAAGUACGGAUGAUUUCUUCCUCGGUCAUCGGAGGCUCCACCUUGGCAGCUAUUUUCCUCCAUCUCUUGGCAUAAGUCUUGUGAUCUUCGGAGGGUUUUCUUUUGGUUCCUUCCAAGGUGGUUCUAGUCGGUGCCAACUCACAAUUAUACUCAUAUUGCCUUACGAAAGCCUUGGACAAGUCAAUCCAGGUUCUUACGUCUUCAGGUUUCAGAUUUGAAUACCAAUCAAGUGCGUCCCCUUCCAGACUUUCGGGGAACAACCUUAGAGGCAAGUUUUCAUCGUCCACAGGCUUUCCCAAUUUGUUUGCAAAUAGUCGGAGGUGCGUCUUGGGAUUACCCGUCCCAUCGUACUUGUUAAACUUAGGAGUUUUGAACCCCUCAGGCAGUUGCACAUUCGGAAAGAGACACAGCUCAUCGUAAUCCAAAACUCC
rnacentral:lncRNA from 1 species